rnacentral:rRNA from 1 species
GAUCCUGGCUCAGAACGAACGCUGGCGGCGCGUCUUAAGCAUGCAAGUCGAACGGCAAGAGGUAGCAAUACCUCCUAGAGUGGCGGACUGGUGAGUAACACGUGGGUGACAUACCCUUCAGAUGGGGAUAGCUAUUAGAAAUAGUAGAUAAUACCGAAUACGAGCACAGGGGUUAGAGAUCUGUGAGGAAAGGAGCUAAGGCUCCGCUGAAGGAAUGGCCUGCGGCCCAUUAGCUAGUUGGUGAGGUAAGAGCCCACCAAGGCGAUGAUGGGUAUCCGGCCUUAGAGGGUGAACGGACACAUUGGGACUGAGAUACGGCCCAGACUCCUACGGGAGGCAGCAGCUAAGAAUAUUCCGCAAUGGACGAAAGUCUGACGGAGCGACGCCGCGUGGAUGAAGAAGGCCGGAAGGUUGUAAAAUCCUUUUGAAACUGAAGAAUAAGCGUUGUAGGGAAUGACAGCGUGGUGACAGUAGGUUUUGAAUAAGCAACGGCUAAUUACGUGCCAGCAGCAGC